CCCCAAAAAUAACAAGGUAAAGGUCGGCCAGUGAGACGAUGGGGGAUAAGCUACAUUGUCGAGAGAUAAACAACUUGAAUUACCAAUUAAGGCCCCUAAAUGACAAUUCAAUGAUAAUGGAGUUAAAGGUGCGGCGACAAUAGGAGAUUUGCCUAGACGCAGUUAUCUUUUAAAAAGUACGUAAUAACUUACUGAUUGAGCGCUAUUACACCUAAGAUGAACAAGGCUAAGUUAUAUGCCGAAGCUGCGGGAUGCAAAAAUGCAUCGAUAGAGG
rnacentral:ncRNA from 1 species